rnacentral:rRNA from 1 species
GACGAACGCUGGCGGCGUGCUUAACACAUGCAAGUCGAACGGUAAGGCCCUUCGGGGUACACGAGUGGCGAACGGGUGAGUAACACGUGGGUGAUCUGCCCUGCACUUCGGGAUAAGCCUGGGAAACUGGGUCUAAUACCGGAUAGGACCACUGCCUGCAUGGGUGGUGGUGGAAAGCUUUUGCGGUGUGGGAUGGGCCCGCGGCCUAUCAGCUUGUUGGUGGGGGGAUGGCCUACCAAGGCGACGACGGGUAGCCGGCCUGAGAGGGUGACCGGCCACACUGGGACGGGGAUACGGCCCAGACUCCUACGGGAGGCAGCAGUGGGGAAUAUUGCACAAUGGGCGCAAGCCUGAUGCAGCGACGCCGCGUGAGGGAUGACGGCCUUCGGGUUGUAAACCUCUUUCAGCACCGACGAAGCGCAAGUGACGGUAGGUGCAGAAGAAGGACCGGCCAACUACGUGCCAGCAGCCGCAGUAA